rnacentral:lncRNA from 7 species
GCAACACCUAGAGGCCCCUGCUGAAAUCAGGGCACUGUUGCUCAGUGCACUGCACACACCUGCCUCAUGUCCUGCCAUUCCAGCUGAUCAGCAAGAGGAAGAGGAGCAGUGGACACAGCAGGAGCAAAUCCAGAGCAUGCACCCAUGCUAACUCAGGCUGUAGAGUUGCUAUGCACUCUUGUCACCUAAAUGGGAAGCCAGCCUUGCAACUGCACUACUCUCAGAGGUGAGACCUAAUGGGCAUUACUGUUGCACUGGCUGGAAGGAACAUGAGGAAAGCAAUCUGUUUGGCAGUGGAGGGGACAGCUCUGCUUCUGCCGUUCAUGCCUGUGCUAUCUGUUCCAGAACUGACCAGUGGAAAACUUCUGGCCUUGCUUUUUCCCACUCUGCUUGGGGUUAAAGAGGGUACAAGAUGUAACAAGGUUUGGAAAUCACCCAGCGGAGAGCAUUCAUUGUUGGCUCCAGCCUUUAUUAAUGGAGAGCGGUUCAGAUUCAAGGCUAAAUCACUGGCUGAAGAGGACAGGAGCAGACAAAAGGCAAGGGGUACUGCAUGUGACCUGCGAGCUGGAAGUGUAACAAGAACGAUUUGGAAAUACUGCAAAGAGCAAACUGAUCCUGGUGGCAGUGUCAAUAGCCUCCCCUGUGAGCACUAAUUGUAUUAUUACGAAAACAGACUAACACAAAACUAAAGCACAGAAACAUACAUUUAAGAUCUGGCCAGAUGCCAGUGCGCUCAAGACACAUCCUUCAUACCAGCUGAAUUAUGAUGCUGUGCUAUUUCUUUUGCUGUAGCGCUUAAGAGUGCUAAUUGUCAACCCAUGUCCUGCCAUGGACUGUACCAUAAAAACACAGAUGGCCGGCACAGCACCCAUCCCAAAAAGCCUAUACUGCAUGUCCAAGGUCAGAGGGGUGGAGGCAGUUUAAGAUAGAGCAGGCCAGAGCUGUUGUCAAGGCAGAGAAGAUGGCUUUGAGGGAGAACUGUGUGACUUUGCUGAUGCUUCUGGUGAGAUUAUCACUGAUGUGGAAUAUAGAUUUUUUUUUUUUAGAUGUUUCCCCUUCUACCUUCAAGCCUCUUACUAUACAGCUACCAAGUGAAAUGCUCCAAAACAAAUAUAUUGCAAUCUCCUGCACAGAAACAGUUCAUGCAGACAAGCAUCAGCAGUUGCUUGGGAGCAGAUAGGAUCAUUGCAAGCAAUACAUCAGGUCCUCGCUUGAUGCUUCAAGUUUAAAUAAUAGCAGCUUCCAUUUCCUGGGUCACAAACAGCAAGUAUUUGCCAAUGAUACCUUAGUAAUUUGCAAAGCAGGGAAGAAGGGACGACCCCCCCCGACUUUAUUUUUGGCUAAUCAGAUGAUGAUGAAGAACAUGUUUGUGUAUGGGAGAGGAGCUGGGGUCAUGGGGCCAGAGCCACAUGGGGGGGAUUUGUAUGCAAUGGGAAUAAAUCUGUGAAAAUGUGUAAGCGGAGCUGCAGAAGGAAAUCUGCAGCCGCCUGAGCCAGGCGGUUGAAUGGCAGAGAGGAUGGAGGCUAUUUGAAUACUGAUGUGGCCCUCACUUUCUUCCAUUUCCAUUAAUGACAUGCUCAUCAAGGGCAAACAAUGGGACCGGCUGCCUGCGCCUGUCACACUGUGUGGGUGCUGGGAAUGCCAGGCUGUCAUCCCGGGGCUGCAUUUAGAGACCUGCACGCUAAUAAGAAGUGCUCUGUGCCGUCAGUGCAGACAGGUGCUUCCGAGGCUGGGACAUGCUCCAUUCCCUUCCCCUGAAACCCUCCUCUCCCAGCCCCCUGACAGACACCAUGAAAUGCACAAAUUAACAGCCCCAUCAUGUUGGGCUGCUGCUGCCUGCGGUGAAAGCAGAAAAUCAAGUUGUCACCCAGGGUACAGUGAUAAAGCCACAGCCUCAUUUCUCUGUUGGUGCCCUAUAAUAGCAAAUGCCAGACAGCUGGAUGGAUUGGGAGGUUUUAGAUUAGGCUCCCGGUGCACUUUGGCCACUGAAUUAGCAGUUGCUGUUUUCAUGCGUAUUAUUCGUGUGCAAAGCAAACAUCUGGAGAAAGCAAAGGCUCUAGGGUCAGAUAUUCGAUGUGUCUUUUCCCCUAAUGAAGCGGAUACAACCAAAAUUGUUCAGUGCUUUUGGAAAAAAAAUUUCUCCCCCUCAGUGAAAAAGCAGAAACCCUCCCAGAUUUGCCUUUGGAGGCCUUCCCAGCAAAUGCAAGCAUUUGCCCAUGGCCAAACUGAACAAGGCUCUCCAACCAAGGCAAGUUUGUAAUUCUACAGAAAAAGUGGCUGGAGGAAAGUCAAAGCAGAUCUUUGUGGUAAG